ACACUGCUGAGGAGUCCCACAAUAGGACGAGACGGCUGUCUAGUGC
rnacentral:hammerhead_ribozyme from 1 species